rnacentral:lncRNA from 1 species
AUGGGCAUUUGUUUAAUGGACGGCCAUGUGUAGUUGCAUAUGCCUCACCAUAUAGUGUCAAGAGAAUGGGUGAAGCUCAGUUGAAUAGAAACCAAAAUGCGGCCCAGCCAGCUGUUAAUCAACCACGAAGAGGGCCUGGAGGAACUGGAGAUGUGCCAGGUAAACCUAGCGGCGGCGGUGGAGGCGGAGGCAACAUGGCUAUAGGUGGGAACUAUCAAGGCAGUGGUGAUGGUCACAGAGGUUUUGGGAGAGGGAAUUGGGGUAGAGGUAAUGGUCAAGGAGGUAUGGGGAAUAGGGGGCCUAUGGGUCCAAUGAGAAACAGGGGUGGUGGAAUAGGUGGUCGUGGUUUAAUGGGUAACGGUAAUGGAUUUGCGCAGGGGAUUGGUGCCACUCCUCCAUUAUUACAUCCUCAAACCAUGAUGGGUCAGGGAUUCGAUCCUGCUUUUGGAGGGCCCAUGGGGAGAAUGGGUAGUUAUGGAGGAUUUCCUGGUGCGCCUGCCCCACCCUUUUCUGGAAUGUUAUCUUCAUUUGGACCUGUUGGAAGUGUUGGUUUGCCUGGUGUUGCUCCCCAUGUGAAUCCGGCAUUUUUUGGGAGAGGGAUGCCCAUGAAUGGUAUGGGUAUGAUGCCUGCUCCUGGAUUUGAGGGGCCUCAUAUGGGCACAUGGUCGGAUCCUAAUAUGGCUGGAUGGACAGGCGACGAG